AUCACUCUUCAAAUUCCCAAGUAGUAAUACAACAUCUCAUUUAUUUUGGAUCCCAUCAGAAUUUAGCGUUAAAACAAAAUGAAAGCUAUUGUAUUUUUAUUGAUUGCUGCACUGCUUGCUUCACAACACGUCGACGCCUUCACUGCAGGAAUUGGAAACUUUGGCAAGCGAGAACUUAGAAAGUCCCAAGAUGCUGUGCGCACGGUGUGUCGUUACAUUCGAGAACUACACACACAGGAUGCCCAAUACCCAAGAUAUCCAAACUACGAGAACGUACGCGAAAUAUGCAAAUGAAGACGAGACGUUGAUUACAUUAGAUCAUCAACUGGAUAAGAUAUUACGAACCAAUAUUAGCAUUGGUAAUUAAUGAUAUUUAUUGGAAGACUUAGAACGAGAGAUAGAAGACAGGUUCAAAUACGUUGGUCAGAAGAUAUGCUAUUUGUGUUUAAAUAUGAUGUAAGACUUUAUAAUUUGAGCCAGAUAGACUGAUAUAUAUAUAUACGAAAUUGUAGUAAAUCUAUUGGAAAUAUUUUAACUAUGUAAAAUAAAUGAUUAUCUCAUAA